rnacentral:tRNA from 1 species
GUGGAUAUGUCCGAGUGGUUAAGGAGACAGACUUGAAAUGUGUUGGGCUUCGCCCGCGCAGGUUCGAUCCCUGCUGUCGACG